rnacentral:rRNA from 1 species
GACGAACGCUGGCGGCGUGCUUAACACAUGCAAGUCGAACGGAAAGGCCCUGCUUUUGUGGGGUGCUCGAGUGGCGAACGGGUGAGUAACACGUGAGUAACCUGCCCUUGACUUUGGGAUAACUUCAGGAAACUGGGGCUAAUACCGUAUAGGAGCUCCUGCUGCAUGGUGGGGGUUGGAAAGUUUCGGCGGUUGGGGAUGGACUCGCGGCUUAUCAGCUUGUUGGUGGGGUAGUGGCUUACCAAGGCUUUGACGGGUAGCCGGCCUGGGAGGGUGACCGGGCACAUUGGGACUGAGAUACGGCCCAGACUCCUACGGGAGGCAGCAGUGGGGAAUAUUGCACAAUGGGCGGAAGCCUGAUGCAGCAACGCCGCGUGCGGGAUGACGGCCUUCGGGUUGUAAACCGCUUUCGCCUGUGACGAAGCGUGAGUGACGGUAAUGGGUAAAGAAGCACCGGCUAACUACGUG